rnacentral:sRNA from 1 species
UUAAAAACCAAUAUAAGAAAUUAGCAGCGUAUUCUGGGAUAGCUAACGUUUGCUAUUGGUAUAUUAUAUUUUGCAAUUACCUUUUAAUUUUUUAAUUGCAAAACUCCACAGGACAAAUGCCGUUUUUAGGCCUUAAACGAGAUUGGUAUGCGACCCGCCAAUCCCCUGUUCGAAAAACAAUAAAAUCUUCCAGCGUUAAAAUGCCUGUUAAACUUCGAAAUGUUUCUUUUCGACCCAAGUUUUUAAAUAACUUUUGGCGUUCAGGUAUUAUAUAUAUUAUGCGAGAAAGGUGGUCCCGGUACCAAUCGUUUUUCUAAUCAAUUGCACAUUGCCGGUAUUUUUAAAGCUUUUAUUUUACGAACCUUCGACGAUCUUCGUACGCCUGUUUGCGAGCGGUUAUAUGUUGCUCGUAUUCCUCUUUUUUGAAAAGGGCGCCGUCGAUAAAAAUAUUAAAUGUAGAAAUAUAUUCUUUCAGUCGAAUAUAUUCCUCGUCUUAUUUCAGCUGGUCGACCUCCCGUGCCGGAAAUUGCAAAACCAGGUCGCUAUCCCAUUUUAUCGUUGCCGAUUGGAAAUCUUUAAUAAGAUUACGCCUGAUAUCCAUCCCCAAAUAGCUUGCCACGCCAUCCAUUAUAUUUAUUGCACCCAAAUAAUACCUUUGAAAAACUGAUAAAUUUCUAUAGUCCGCAAAAAAUUGGAAUUAUUCGACCGAUUAACCAUUAUUUCCUAUAAUAAAAUUAAUAUAAUAUGGAAAUGGUAAAACGCUGAUCUUUUACCGUUGGUUUUAAUAAAGGUUUCCUUUCGUGCGUUAUAAAGGCCGCCAAUAUUAUUUACGAAUCCUGCGCGCUUUACCCAAUUUGAAAUAUAUUGUGAUACGCUAUUUGAACUUUUCGCAUUAUGUUUAGAACCAGUUUUUGUCCAUAUGGGAAAAAUUGGAUAAUUUUUCAAAUUAUCCGCGAACGAUAUAAUUCGGUGGUUUCGGCCCUUUUAAGGCACAAUUUGCAAGAUUUUUUACAAUAAAGGAUUCCCUUUUAUAAUUUUAAAAAAAAUAAUGUUUGCCAGCCAAAAAAGCAUUGGUUGUAAAUAUAAAGGCGGCGGGCCGGAGUUUGACAAUAUCCUUUCUGGCAUAAUAUGCUCUAAUUUAAACAAAAAUAAGCAAUUGCAUUACGGGUAUUUAAUGGCGGAUCGACUUACUGCCUAUCGUUUUUUCCUUUACAAAUUGCCCUUCGUAUUUUCAAUUUAAAUUUAGCCUUUCCGUCUUUCCAGCCAACUAACAAAACGAGAUUCUAUUUCAAAAUCAGCUUUAAUUAAAUAAUAUGGGAUUAAAAAAGCAUUCUACCUUGUAUUUUGCUCCAUAUAACUCUGCUACCCUAGCAAAAUUGAAGCAAUAUAUGUUUAAUAAAUUGGCGUCGUUUACCCGAUACCCCUUAUAUAUAUAGUUAUGGAAGUCUUCGAACUAUAGAAAUUAAUGCAAUUUUACAAAAUUCUCUAUCGUAAGGAACGUUUGUUUUUUGCGUAGGUUUUUUAAACCAAAUUCGUUUGCUAAUUCACCUUAAAUAUAUUAUUUACAAAUAUUAGGAUUUUAUUUAUAUUAGCAAAUCUUUUUUUGAUAUUUUGAAAAAAAAAACGAAAUAUUUGAUAAAAAAUUAAAAAAGUAUUUACAUAUACCAUUAAAUGUUUUAUUUCUGGUGGUAUGUUUGUUUUAUGGUAUCGUUCCCACGUAUUGCAAAAAUGGCGCGUAAGGCAUUUUAGACUAUCCACUGUCGGUCGCCCAUGAAUUUUGUCAAAUUUACCCUUUUUCCCCAAGGCCAAUAUUUUGACGAAAUGUUUUAUAACUCGUAUGUUUCGGGGGUCCGAAGGUCCUUAUAACUUUACAUAAUUAAAAAAAGAUUUAUUUAAUUUUAGGCAUUUUAAUAUAAAUUAAAAGGCUUUUUUACCAGAACUAUAUUAUAAACGCGUCGUUAUAAUAUUUCUUGGUCUUUUUACGAAGUAUUUUGCGUGAUUAAUUAUUACUAAUUUGUAAAAAAUUAAUUGGAAGCCCGUUUGCUAAAACACGCUCUAUUACGACUUCCCCGUAUAUUUUUUGUUUUUUGGUACCCAUAAUAACAAAUUGCUGUGGUUUUAACUCUUAGAAAAAAGUGGAUAAUUCUGUUAUUGUUUGUGGAAAGCGAUAUUAAAGGAUGUAAUGGUAAUAAUAGGAAUGGUUGGUGAAACGAAAGAAAUUUUGGUAAAAUUACCAGGAAGAUUGGAGGGUUGAGGUACGAGGGCUCGCAAUAUUUGAAAAUCUCGUGUUAAAACCAUUGAUAAAAAAAAAGAAUUUGACAGAUAUAAGGAGGUAAAUAAACGGUUAUAUACAAUUUGCAGGCCAGGGGAAAUUACACCUGGCUGCCUUGUGGGUCGAUAUUGUAAAAAAAACCUCCUUUAAAAUCUUUUGGGUCCAUAUUUACCAAGGAUAAUGGGCACUUGGCUAUAUAUAUAAUCGUAAAUUUUACGCCAUAGGAAUAAGAACUGUGCCGCUUCUAAAUAUUUUUGUUAUUUUUAUAUAGCAAAAUAUCGGGCAUUUCCAAUAAUCCAAUAUAUAUCCGUUAAAAAAUAUAAUAAAAUCGAAAAUAUAAUAUAGCACCAAUUAAUUACACCUGGAUUUUUUCUUCUAUAUUGUGGGUGGUGACCGGAAAUGGUUUAUUUUAUUAGUUUCAUCCUGCCUCGGAUCGGGUUUGGAUAUCGGUUAAAACUGCCUCGGUUUGGUAUAAUAUAUCCGUCUCGGUCUUUAGGUAAAUUUGCGUAAGGAAAUUUAUUGCAACCAGGUAAUAUAUAAAACGCCUCAAAAUCGAUUUUAACUAUACGCAAUAUUUUGCUGGUUACUUUUUGCGUUAUUUUCUGUUAAAAUGUUGGAUUUUUCAACCAAGAAUUUAUUUUCAACCAAAAAAAUGUCCGAAAAAGUUUUUUCAAAAACAAAAAAAAUAUUAGUAAAUCGGAAAUAAAACAUUUUAAUUUUGGAUUUAUUUGGGAAUAUUUUA